rnacentral:lncRNA from 1 species
GGAAAUUGAAGUCUAAGAUGUCAAACAAUUGAUGCACAAAGUGAAUUUUCUUUAAUAACUCCAAAUUCUUCAAGGAAAACUUCCACCCACACAGCAGUGUUGACUGCUGGUGCUCUGAGGGAAUUAUGGCACAUAGUAAUAAAAGAUGUAUAGAAUUUCUACAUCAGCAACGUGAAGUCCAGCCCAGCACCCUAGUAUGGAGAACAGAUGGAGUUCCAGAAGGUAGAAGCCCAUACCGGAACUGGGGGCAGUGGAGGGGAUGCCAUGUGGAAAAUUGGUUGCCAAACUGAGGCCUCAGAAAUGAAUGUGAAAUAAACCUUCUCCUUCACAAAUGCUACUGUUUGUGAUUGUCUAAAUAAAAGGAUUCAUCC